GUUGUUCGGAAUUACUGGGCGUAAAGCGCGCGUAGGCGGCUUUGUAAGUUAGAGGUGAAAGCCCGGAGCUCAACUCCGGAACUGCCUUUAAGACUGCAUCGCUUGAAUCCGGGAGAGGUGAGUGGAAUUCCGAGUGUAGAGGUGAAAUUCGUAGAUAUUCGGAAGAACACCAGUGGCGAAGGCGGCUCACUGGACCGGCAUUGACGCUGAGGUGCGAAAGCGUGGGGAGCAAACAGG
rnacentral:rRNA from 1 species